rnacentral:rRNA from 1 species
GCUUGUCUCAAAGAUUAAGCCAUGCAUGUCUAAGUACAAGCCUCAGUAAGGUGAAACCGCGAAUGGCUCAUUAAAUCACACCUAAUCUACUGGAAAGUUACUAGUUACUUGGAUAACUGAGGUAAUUCUUGAGCUAAUACAUGCGAAAAAUCUCGACUCACGGAGAGAUGCUUUUAUUAGAUCAAAACCAAACGGCUUCGGCCGUCUCAUUGGUGACUCUGGACAACUUUGUGCCGAUCGCACGGCCCUGGUGCCGGCGACGUAUCUUUCAAGUGUCUGCCCUAUCAACUGUCGACUGUGAUAUAGACGCUCACAGUGGUUUUGACGGGUAACGGGGAAUCAGGGUUCGAUUCCGGAGAGGGAGCCUUAAAAACGGCUACCACAUCCAAGGAAGGCAGCAGG